rnacentral:rRNA from 1 species
GAUGAACGCUGGCGGCGUGCUUAACACAUGCAAGUCGAACGAAGCAUUUAAGACAGAUUACUUCGGUUUGAAGUCUUUUAUGACUGAUUGGCGGACGGGUGAGUAACGCGUGGGUAACCUGCCUCAUACAGGGGGAUAGCAGCUGGAAACGGCUGGUAAUACCGCAUAAGCGCACAGUACCACAUGGUACAGUGUGAAAAACUCCGGUGGUAUGAGAUGGACCCGCGUCUGAUUAGCUUGUUGGCGUGGUAACGGCCCACCCAGGCGACGAUCAGUAGCCGACCAGAGAGGGUGACCGGCCACAUUGGGAGUGAGACACGGCCCAGACUCCUACGGGAGGCAGCAGUGGGGAAUAUUGCACAAUGGAGGAAACUCUGAUGCAGCGACGACGCGUGAGUGAAGAAGUAGUUCGCUAUGUAAAGCUCUAUCAGCAGGGAAGAUAGUGACGGUACCUGACUAAGAAGCUCCGGCUAAAUACGUG